rnacentral:tRNA from 1 species
UGUGGCUCACUGGUGGAGCACUUGCCUGUCAUGCAAGAGGCCCUGGAUUCAAUUCCCGAUA